rnacentral:rRNA from 1 species
ACUAAGCGUACACGGUGGAUGCCCUGGCAGUCAGAGGCGAUGAAGGACGUGCUAAUCUGCGAAAAGCGCCGGCGAGGUGAUAUGAACCCUUGACCCGGCGAUGUCCGAAUGGGGAAACCCAGUGCAAUCCGUUGCACUAUCGUUAACUGAAUACAUAGGUUAACGAGGCGAACCGGGGGAACUGAAACAUCUAAGUACCCCGAGGAAAAGAAAUCAACCGAGAUUCCCCCAGUAGCGGCGAGCGAACGGGGAGCAGCCCGGAGUCUGAAUCAGCUUGUGUGUUAGUGGAACGGUCUGGAAAGUCCGACGGUACAGGGUGAUAGUCCCGUACACGAAAGCACACUUGCUGUGAACUCGAAGAGUAGGGCGGGACACGUGGUAUCCUGUCUGAAUAUGGGGGGACCAUCCUCCAAGGCUAAAUACUCCUGACUGACCGAUAGUGAACCAGUACCGUGAGGGAAAGGCGAAAAGAACCCCGGCGAGGGGAGUGAAAAAGAACCUGAAACCGUGUACGUACAAGCAGUGGGAGCCUCUUUAUGGGGUGACUGCGUACCUUUUGUAUAAUGGGUCAGCGACUUAUAUUCUGUAGCAAGGUUAACCGUAUAGGGGAGCCGAAGGGAAACCGAGUCUUAACUGGGCGUUAAGUUGCAGGGUAUAGACCCGAAACCCGGUGAUCUAGCCAUGGGCAGGUUGAAGGUUGGGUAACACUAACUGGAGGACCGAACCGACUAAUGUUGAAAAAUUAGCGGAUGACCUGUGGCUGGGGGUGAAAGGCCAAUCAAACCGGGAGAUAGCUGGUUCUCCCCGAAAGCUAUUUAGGUAGCGCCUCGUGAACUCAUCUUCGGGGGUAGAGCACUGUUUCGGCUAGGGGGCCAUCCCGGCUUACCAACCCGAUGCAAACUACGAAUACCGAAGAAUGUUAUCACGGGAGACACACGGCGGGUGCUAACGUCCGUCGUGAAGAGGGAAACAACCCAGACCGCCAGCUAAGGUCCCAAAGUCAUGGUUAAGUGGGAAACGAUGUGGGAAGGCACAGACAGCCAGGAUGUUGGCUUAGAAGCAGCCAUCAUUUAAAGAAAGCGUAAUAGCUCACUGGUCGAGUCGGCCUGCGCGGAAGAUGUAACGGGGCUAAACCAUGCACCGAAGCUGCGGCAGCGACGCUUAUGCGUUGUUGGGUAGGGGAGCGUUCUGUAAGCCGUUGAAGGUGUGCUGUGAGGCAUGCUGGAGGUAUCAGAAGUGCGAAUGCUGACAUAAGUAACGAUAAAGCGGGUGAAAAGCCCGCUCGCCGGAAGACCAAGGGUUCCUGUCCAACGUUAAUCGGGGCAGGGUGAGUCGACCCCUAAGGCGAGGCCGAAAGGCGUAGUCGAUGGGAAACAGGUUAAUAUUCCUGUACUUGGUGUUACUGCGAAGGGGGGACGGAGAAGGCUAUGUCAGCCGGGCGACGGUUGUCCCGGUUUAAGCAUGUAGGCGGAGGUUCCAGGUAAAUCCGGUACCUUAUUAACGCUGAGGUGUGAUGACGAGGCACUACGGUGCUGAAGUGAUAAAUGCCCUGCUUCCAGGAAAAGCCUCUAAGCAUCAGGUAACACGAAAUCGUACCCCAAACCGACACAGGUGGUCAGGUAGAGAAUACCAAGGCGCUUGAGAGAACUCGGGUGAAGGAACUAGGCAAAAUGGUGCCGUAACUUCGGGAGAAGGCACGCUGAUGUGUAGGUGAAGUCCCUGCGGAUGGAGCUGAAAUCAGUCGAAGAUACCAGCUGGCUGCAACUGUUUAUUAAAAACACAGCACUGUGCAAACACGAAAGUGGACGUAUACGGUGUGACGCCUGCCCGGUGCCGGAAGGUUAAUUGAUGGGGUUAGCGGCAACGCGAAGCUCUUGAUCGAAGCCCCGGUAAACGGCGGCCGUAACUAUAACGGUCCUAAGGUAGCGAAAUUCCUUGUCGGGUAAGUUCCGACCUGCACGAAUGGCGUAAUGAUGGCCAGGCUGUCUCCACCCGAGACUCAGUGAAAUUGAACUCGCUGUGAAGAUGCAGUGUACCCGCGGCAAGACGGAAAGACCCCGUGAACCUUUACUAUAGCUUGACACUGAACACUGGUCCUUGAUGUGUAGGAUAGGUGGGAGGCUUUGAAGCGUGGACGCCAGUCUGCGUGGAGCCNGACCCGUAAUCCGGGUUGCGGACAGUGUCUGGUGGGUAGUUUGACUGGGGCGGUCUCCUCCCAAAGAGUAACGGAGGAGCACGAAGGUUGGCUAAUCCUGGUCGGACAUCAGGAGGUUAGUGCAAUGGCAUAAGCCAGCUUGACUGCGAGCGUGACGGCGCGAGCAGGUGCGAAAGCAGGUCAUAGUGAUCCGGUGGUUCUGAAUGGAAGGGCCAUCGCUCAACGGAUAAAAGGUACUCCGGGGAUAACAGGCUGAUACCGCCCAAGAGUUCAUAUCGACGGCGGUGUUUGGCACCUCGAUGUCGGCUCAUCACAUCCUGGGGCUGAAGUAGGUCCCAAGGGUAUGGCUGUUCGCCAUUUAAAGUGGUACGCGAGCUGGGUUUAGAACGUCGUGAGACAGUUCGGUCCCUAUCUGCCGUGGGCGCUGGAGAAUUGAGGGGGGCUGCUCCUAGUACGAGAGGACCGGAGUGGACGCAUCACUGGUGUUCGGGUUGUCAUGCCAAUGGCACUGCCCGGUAGCUAAAUGCGGAAGAGAUAAGUGCUGAAAGCAUCUAAGCACGAAACUUGCCCCGAGAUGAGUUCUCCCUGAGACUUUAAGUCUCCUGAAGGAACGUUGAAGACGACGACGUUGAUAGGUCGGGUGUGUAAGCGCAGCGAUGCGUUGAGCUAACCGAUACUAAUGAACCGUGAGGCUUAACC